UGGGGAAUAUUGGACAAUGGAGGCAACUCUGAUCCAGCAAUUCUGUGUGUGUGAAGAAGGUUUUAGGACUGUAAAACACUUUUAGUAGGGAAGAAAGAAAUGACGGUACCUACAGAAGAAGCGACGGCUAAAUACGUGCCGGCAGCCGCGGUAAUACGUAUGUCGCGAGCGUUAUCCGGAAUUAUUGGGCUUAAGGGCAUCUAGGCGGUUAAACAAGUUGAAGGUGAAAACCUGUGGCUCAACCAUAGGCUUGCCUACAAAACUGUAUAACUAGAGUACUGGAAAGGUGGGUGGAACUACACGAGUAGAGGUGAAAUUCGUAGAUAUGUGUAGGAAUGCCGAUGAUGAAGAUAACUCACUGGACAGCAACUGACGCUGAAGUGCGAAAGCUAGGGGAGCAAACAGG
rnacentral:rRNA from 1 species